rnacentral:rRNA from 1 species
UACAGAGGUGGCAAGCGUUGUUCGGAAUUACUGGGCGUAAAGGGCGCGUAGGCGGUUCGUUAAGUCCUGUGUGAAAUCCCCCGGCUCAACUGGGGAACUGCACAGGAAACUAGCGGGCUUGAGUUCGGGAGAGGGAUGCGGAAUUCCAGGUGUAGCGGUGAAAUGCGUAGAUAUCUGGAGGAACACCGGUGGCGAAGGCGGCGAUCCUGGACCAACACUGACGCUGAGUGAGCGAAAGCCAGGGGAGCAAACGGG